rnacentral:lncRNA from 1 species
GCCGCCGUGUUGGAGCUCGAGCGCCCCUAGGAGGCUUCGGAGUCAUAGUCCCUCUUCUUCUUCCUCGUCUUCGUCUUCAUCUUCAUCUUCAUUUGCUCAGCCUCGCCUCUCUCUUACUUCGCCGUUUCUCUCUCCUCUCCCUUCUCCUUUCUCUUUCUCUUCUGGAGCCGUCGUCGAUUCUGUGAUGGUGGCGAUGACGCCGUUUCGAGGACCGGUCGGAUACGUCAAGCUUGAAGGAGAGGACGACGGUGAAUCAUUGUCGCUCGUUUCCGGCAAAUGCUUCUCCCUCUUGCUUUUACUCCCCAUUUUGCAAUCAAAUUCAAAAUCAAACAGUAACAACGAGAAGGUGAAGAUAGGUGUCGACGCCGUUCCAAGAGAUGUCGGAGAAGGUGAGGGAACUUUGUCG